rnacentral:sRNA from 1 species
UGAUUGUAUCGUUAGUGAAAUCUUCAGGC